UUCGCCUGAGUGCAACUGAGUUUGGGUU
rnacentral:sRNA from 1 species